UGAUUGAUGACAAUCUGCCAUUCACUAC
rnacentral:piRNA from 1 species